AGAGUUUGAUCCUGGCUCAGAUUGAACGCUGGCGGCGUGCCUAACACAUGCAAGUCGAGCGGUAACAGGUGUAGCAAUACAUGCUGACGAGCGGCGAACGGGUGAGUAAUGCUUCGGAAUCUACCCUCUAGUGGGGAAUAACCAGCCGAAAGGUUGGCUAAUACCGCAUACGCCCUACGGGAGAAAGCAGGGGAUCGUAAGACCUUGCGCUGAUGGAUGAGCCGAAGUCGGAUUAGCUAGUUGGUGGGGUAACGGCUCACCAAGGCGACGAUCCGUAGCUGGUCUGAGAGGACGACCAGCCACACUGGAACUGAGACACGGUCCAGACUCCUACGGGAGGCAGCAGUGGGGAAUAUUGGACAAUGGGGGAAACCCUGAUCCAGCGACGCCGCGUGUGUGAAGAAGGCCUGCGGGUUGUAAAGCACUUUUAGUGGGGAUGA
rnacentral:rRNA from 1 species